rnacentral:rRNA from 1 species
CGGCGUGCCUAAUACAUGCAAGUCGAGCGAAUGGAUUAAGAGCUUGCUCUUAUGAAGUUAGCGGCGGACGGGUGAGUAACACGUGGGUAACCUGCCCAUAAGACUGGGAUAACUCCGGGAAACCGGGGCUAAUACCGGAUAACAUUUUGAACCGCAUGGUUCGAAAUUGAAAGGCGGCUUCGGCUGUCACUUAUGGAUGGACCCGCGUCGCAUUAGCUAGUUGGUGAGGUAACGGCUCACCAAGGCAACGAUGCGUAGCCGACCUGAGAGGGUGAUCGGCCACACUGGGACUGAGACACGGCCCAGACUCCUACGGGAGGCAGCAGUAGGGAAUCUUCCGCAAUGGACGAAAGUCUGACGGAGCAACGCCGCGUGAGUGAUGAAGGCUUUCGGGUCGUAAAACUCUGUUGUUAGGGAAGAACAAGUGCUAGUUGAAUAAGCUGGCACCUUGACGGUACCUAACCAGAAAGCCACGGCUAACUACGUGCCAGCCGCCGCGGUAAUUCGUCGUGACUGGG